GACGAACCGUACGAACGUUAUUCGGAAUCACUGGGCUUAAAGGGUGCGUAGGCGGCGCUGAAAGUAGGGUGUGAAAUCCCUCGGCUCAACCGAGGAACUGCGCUCUAAACUACAGUGCUUGAGGGAGACAGAGGUGAGCGGAACUUAGGGUGGAGCGGUGAAAUGCGUUGAUAUCCUAAGGAACACCCGUGGCGAAAGCGGCUCACUGGGUCUCUUCUGACGCUGAGGCACGAAAGCCAGGGUAGCGAACGGG
rnacentral:rRNA from 1 species